ACUGGAGUUUGAUCCUGGCUCAGAUUGAACGCUGGCGGCAGGCCUAACACAUGCAAGUCGAGCGGUAGAGAGAAGCUUGCUUCUCUUGAGAGCGGCGGACGGGUGAGUAAUACCUAGGAAUCUGCCUGAUAGUGGGGGAUAACGUUCGGAAACGGACGCUAAUACCGCAUACGUCCUACGGGAGAAAGCAGGGGACCUUCGGGCCUUGCGCUAUCAGAUGAGCCUAGGUCGGAUUAGCUAGUUGGUGAGGUAAUGGCUCACCAAGGCUACGAUCCGUAACUGGUCUGAGAGGAUGAUCAGUCACACUGGAACUGAGACACGGUCCAGACUCCUAC
rnacentral:rRNA from 1 species